GUGAACGCUGGCGGUAGGCCUAACACAUGCAAGUCGAACGGCAGCACAGUAAGAGCUUGCUCUUACGGGUGGCGAGUGGCGGACGGGUGAGGAAUACAUCGGAAUCUACUUUUUCGUGGGGGAUAACGUAGGGAAACUUACGCUAAUACCGCAUACGACCUACGGGUGAAAGCAGGGGAUCUUCGGACCUUACGCGAUUGAAUGAGCCGAUGUCGGAUUAGCUAGUUGGCGGGGUAAAGGCCCACCAAGGCGACGAUCCGUAGCUGGUCUGAGAGGAUGAUCAGCCACACUGGAACUGAGACACGGUCCAGACUCCUACGGGAGGCAGCAGUGGGGAAUAUUGGACAAUGGGCGCAAGCCUGAUCCAGCCAUACCGCGUGGGUGAAGAAGGCCUUCGGGUUGUAAAGCCCUUUUGUUGGGAAAGAAAAGCAGCAGGUUAAUACCCCGCUGUUCUGACGGUACCCAAAGAAUAAGCACCGGCUAACUUCGUG
rnacentral:rRNA from 1 species